rnacentral:misc_RNA from 1 species
AAGGAUCAUUACUGAGUGAGGGUCUUUCGUUCAUCGAGGCCCAACCUCCCCACCCUGUGUCGACCGUACCUUGUCGUUGCUUCGGCGGACCGGUUGCUGACCAACUGGUUUCAACCGCCGGGGGCGUGCCGCCCCUGGAGCGCGUCCGCCGAUGGCCCAACUUUAACUCUUGACCCGAAACCAGUGUCGUCUGAAACACGUUUGUGAUUAAUACAAUCAAACCAAAACUUUCAACAACGGAUCUCUUGGUUCUG